AGAGAAGAGACAGGAGCUUGUUCUGCUGGCUACUGGGUCAGCCACAGGUGCAUGACUGGCAGCAAAGUGUGAGCUGCCAAGCCAGAGCUUUCAGAUGUCUCCCUUGGCUUGCUCCAGGCUGGUGGCAGUCUGAGAGAGCCAGCUGGACGCCUGUCUCCCCCACAUCCCGGAACUGGGCUCCUUGCGUGUCGACACCCCAGGGAGCAGAAUGGG